UACAGAGGUCUCAAGCGUUGUUCGGAUUCAUUGGGCGUAAAGGGCGCGUAGGCGGGGCUGCAAGUCCGCUGUGAAAGCCCGGUGCUUAACACCGGAGGGUCGGUGGAGACUGUGGCUCUUGAAGGUGCUAGGGGGAGAUGGAAUUACCGGUGUAGCGGUGAAAUGCGUAGAGAUCGGUAGGAACACCCGUGGCGAAGGCGGUCUCCUGGGGCAUUCUUGACGCUGAUGCGCGAAAGCUGGGGGAGCGAACGGG
rnacentral:rRNA from 1 species